rnacentral:rRNA from 1 species
AGCGAACGCUGGCGGCAGGCCUAACACAUGCAAGUCGAACGAAGUCUUCGGACUUAGUGGCGGACGGGUGAGUAACACGUGGGAACGUACCUUUUGGUUCGGAACAACUCAGGGAAACUUGAGCUAAUACCGGAUGAGCCCUUAGGGGGAAAGAUUGAUCGCCGAAAGAGCGGCCCGCGUUAGAUUAGCUAGUUGGUGAGGUAAAGGCUCACCAAGGCUACGAUCUAUAGCUGGUCUGAGAGGAUGAUCAGCCACACUGGGACUGAGACACGGGCCAGACUCCUACGGGAGGCAGCAGUGGGGAAUUGUGCGCAAUGGGCGAAAGCCUGACGCAGCCAUGCCGCGUGAAUGAUGAAGGUCUUAGGAUUGUAAAAUUCUUUUACCAGGGACGAUAAUGACGGUACCUGGAGAAAAAGCCCCGGCUAACUUCGUGCCAGCCGCCGCCGUAACAC